rnacentral:rRNA from 1 species
UCGACGGGUCUUAGCAAUAGGACAGUGGCGCACGGGUGAGUAACACGUAGCUUAUCUGCCCCAAAGAGUGGGAUAACGCCCCGAAAGGGGUGCUAAUACCGCAUAAGCUCACGAGCUACAGAGGCUCAUGAGAAAAGGCGCAAGUCGCUUUGGGAGGAGGCUGCGGCCCAUCAGGUAGUUGGUGAGGUAAUGGCUCACCAAGCCGACGACGGGUAGGGGACCUGAGAGGGUGAUCCCCCACACUGGGACUGAGACACGGCCCAGACUCCUACGGGAGGCAGCAGUGAGGAAUAUUGCCCAAUGGAGGAAACUCUGAGGCAGCGACGCCGCGUGGGUGAAGAAGGCCUUCGGGUCGUAAAGCCCUUUUCUGUGUGACGAGCAAGGACGGUAGCACAGGAAUAAGUCUCGGCUAACUACGUGCCAGCAGCCGCGGUAAAACGUAGGAGGCAAGCGUUAUCCGGAGUUACUGGGCGUAAAGAGUGCGUAGGCGGGAAUGUAAGUGGGUGGUGAAAGCCCUCGGCUAAACUGAGGGAGGACCGCUCAGACUGCAUUUCUAGAGGCGGAUAGAGGAGCGUGGAAUUCCGGGUGUAGCGGUGAAAUGUGUAGAGAUCCGGAGGAACACCAGUGGCGCAAGCGGCGCUCUGGGUCCGUACUGACGCUGAGGCACGAAAGCGUGGGGAGCGAACGGGAUUAGAGACCCCGGUAGUCCACGCCGUAAACGAUGUCAACUAGGUGUCCACCUGGCUACGGUCAGGGGGGUGCCGACGCUAACGCAAUAAGUUGACCGCCUGGGGAGUACGGUCG